rnacentral:lncRNA from 1 species
CUCAAGAUGGGAAACCAGAGUUCCACGCCUGGCUCUUCCACUGAUGGCCUUGAGCGGGUCACUCUGAAACUCCUGCUCCCUAGCACUCUCCUCUGUACAGGGGUUCCAUAGAAUUUCUUGUUGGACCGCAGCCCUCUGCUGUCCACCAGGAUUACCCAGGACAGUCGGUGGCUGAGCAGAGAGUCAGCCAAGGGUUUCCAUUCCCUGGGCCCUUAAACCCAUUCCUCUUACCUGAGUUCUCCAGCUUGAACCCCCCACGCCACCCCACCCUGUACAUGGAGUCAGAAAGCUGAAGUUUAGAGCAAUGACAACCUCUCUCCACUCCUCUUUUUCCCUCCGGAGCAUCUACGCAUCAAGCCUGGAUGACAUCAAAGAAAAAAAGCUGCUUCACGUCUCCCUCCACCCUCCGUCGGUCACUCUGAAUCACACUCACAUAGAGAGAGGAUCAGCCAACCACUCCAGUGUGGUUUAAAGGCAGGAACACUACAGUAGAAGUUCAAAAAUCUGGUUUAAAUAUGGCUUCAUGACCUGCCAAUCCGGUGACCUUAGCCUCUCUGAUACUCAGUUUCCUCCUUUGUAAACAGGGAAAAUCUGACUUAGCUCAAACUAUGAGUAUGAAGAUUCAAUGAAAUAACAUAGGCUCAAUCUCACAGCACCAAGCCUGAUACAUGACAGAAAGGGAGGAGGAGAAUGUGGCUCCCAGGAUGGAUACUGAGCUCUGAUGCACCAUGUUCAACUUAACUCUGCGAUACUCAAGUGGAGAAGGUCAAGAAGCUCCCGGGUGCUGGAGUCGGAUGCUUAGGAAGGCUUUAAAGUUGGCGUAUGGAGAAAUGGAACAGGAUCUUGAAAAGGACUUGCUGUAUCAGGUUUUCAUUAAUGUGCAAAGGCCAAGAACACAACAGGUACCAAGUCCCCACAUUCCUAGGCAAAGUGUUAGGUCACUGGUGCAGGACCCAUCAAGAGACUAGGAAGCCAUUGUCAGAUCCCACGCAUACCCACCACCAGCCUUUGAUGCUGGAGAGGUGGAAGAGGUAGAGAGACAAUGUCUCCAGAGAGCUGUUGGAAUCUUGCACCAUUUCUCCUCUCCCUGCCCCUCUCUGGGGAGUGAAGAAGGAGGGCAAAUGCUCAUGUUUUCCCAAGGCUAGAUGUGGGCCAUAUGGGAAGGAGCCAACCUCAAGCCAUGUUGAAAGGAACACUUCCCAGGAGUUAGCCUGGAAAGACAAAGUGACCCUGCAGGGAUGGGGGACCAUGGAAGCCUAGAGGCUGAGGGGACCAUGGAAGCCUAGAGGCUGAGGAGACCUGCUGGGGAAGAAGACUGUAUGCUUCAGGGUUGCUGUGGUCAGAGGAUGCAACAGGGUGCACCCAGCCAAAGAACCAACAUUUAAUAAUCUGCCAUGCCCAGACAGCACCUACAUCUGGAUAUAUCUGAGCCAGUCCAGCACAUCCUCCCUGUCCUAUACUGUUCCUGGAUCCAGCUUGCCAGCACCCUCAGAAGUGGAUCCCUCAGCUCCAGUCGAGCCUUCAGAUGAAGGCAGCCCCAGCUGACAUCUGACAGCAGCCUCACAGGAGACCCUGAGCCAUAACCCCAAAAUAAGUCACUCCUAAAUUCCUGACCCACAGAAACUGUGAAAGAUAAUAAGUACUAUUCUUUUAAGCUUCUAAGUUUUGGGGUGAUUUGUUUACACACCAAUAGAUAACUAACACAUGGCUCCACCCCACUACUACUAAAUCAGGAUUGGGAAAGUUUCCAGGAAUCCAUUUUUAAUAACCUCCCUAAAUUAUUCCUUUGAUAACCAACUAAAUUUAGAGGAAGAAGACCAAAGCGGCAUCUCUGGGAAUCCUGACCUUCAGGGUUUCCAUGAACUUUACAGUCUUGUGAGUGAAACUGACAAUAAUCCCACCAAUGUUAUUUAGUUGUAAUUAUGAUCUGGGUUUGAAGGAAGUAGGAAAGGGUUUGGGCACCAAUUUUAAGAGUCACUGAAACAUCACUGGUGUAACUUGUAGCUAAGUAAGCCAAACAUGCUUCCAGCUAAACUGACAGCUCCACCCAGUGGACAUUUUGAAAACUUCUCUCAUCUGAGUUUUUUUUUUUCUUUUAUACACUUGGAUUCACUGGCAGCUGAAAGCCCACUAUCACCAUCAGCUAAGAUGCUGAUUCAGAUCAUGUUUGCAUCUUUGCUGCUUACCAGCUGUUAACUACCUAAAUUGCAAGCCCUUUCAUGCACCUCCGAAGGAGUCUGGUUUAGAAGAUCAGAGAGCGAAAGUAGCUAAGGAACAAACACUACCAAAAAAAGUCGUGGUACAGGCAGGGCGCGGUGACUCACGCCUGUAAUCCCAGCACUUUGGGAGGCCGAGGUGGGCGGAUCACGAGGUCAGGAGAUCGAGACCAUCCUGGCUAACACGGUGAAACCCCGUCUCUACUAAAAAUACAAAAAAAAUUAGCCAGGCGUGGUGGUGGGCGCCUGUAGUCCCAGCUACUCAGGAGGCUGAGGCAGGAGAAUGGAGUGAACCUGGGAGGUGGAGCUUGCAGUGAGCCGAGAUCGCACCACUGCACUCCAGCCUGGGCGACAGAGCGAGACUCUGUCUCAAAAAAGAAAAAAAUAAAAAAAAGGGCGUGGUACAAAUAUAUUUUCAAAAUGUUGGGUCUGCUUCUACCCAUGGAAAUAAAUCAGAUUUUUAAAAAGAAAGAAAAAGGAAGGGUGCAGUGACUCCUGCCUAUAGUCCCAGCCCUUUGGGAGGCUGAGGCAAAAGGAUCACUUGAGCUCAGGGGUUCAAGACCAGCCUGAGCAACAUAAUAAGACUCUGUCUCUACAAAAAAUACAAAAAUUAGCCAGGUGUGGUGGCACGUGCCCAUAGUCCCAGCUACUUGGGAGACUGAGGUGGGAGGAUCACUUGAGCCUGGAAGUCAAGGCUGCAGUGAGCUGUGAUUGCACCACUGCACUCCAGCCUGUGUGACAGAACGAGGGCCUGCCAAAAGAAAAAAGAAAAAGAAAGAAAGAGAGAAAGAAAAGAAUUCUGCAUGAAAUUUUUAUUAACCAAAAAUUCACUUCUGCACAGUAGAUAUUUUUAAUAUUUAUUCAAAGAAUCACCAAAUUAUUAGCCUUGCGCAGUGGCUUGCACAUCCCAGCGAGGCUUGUCAGAGCCUCUUUGAGGCACAGCAGAGCUGCCAGACCAUUGCAGGGAUGAGGUGACAAUGUGCUGAUGGGGACCUGAGUGGGAUAUGGGAGAGUCCAAGGGAUAAAAAGACUUCAACAUCAAAUUUACUGAUCCUGAUUUCUGUGCUGUUUCCCUGAAAGCAAACAGGCACUGGGCCCACCCAUAAGUGUUGCUUCGCAUGAAAUGGACAAGGUCACAACAGAGAGAUGAGCUGCAAUUCACUCACUCAACAGCAAGGCCAUCUUUGCUUGGCCUGAGUGCCUGUGUUCCUGUGCCACGCCAGUUUCAGUCCCUUACAUGGCUCUGGCACAACACAAAAAAAGAGAGAUGGCAAGAGGAGCUGGGCAGGGGACUGAAUCCCCCAGGCCGUUACAAUGGAUUCAGUUCAAGCCAACCCCACACAGGUUCACAGCAGCCCAUACUGCCCAGGGAAGACCGUGACCUCCUUCCCUCCCCAGGGCUCCUUAACAUUGACUGAACACUUACUAUGCUGUAGGCCUUGCUUUACAAGCAUUGAUUCAUCUUCACAACUUUAACGAGGAAACUUCUAUUAUUAUGUUCAUUUCACAAUUGAGAAGAGUGACACAUAGAGAGAAGUCUGCCAGUUCAGCAGUUACUCUGUGGCCUUACUGUGUGCCUGGCACUGAGCUACAUACUGGGAGUUGCAAGGAUGAGUUUAAAAAACAGACAAGUUGGUCAGGCGUGGUGGCUCACGCCUGUAAUCCUAGCACUUUGGGAGGCCAAGGCGGGUGAAUUGCCUAAGCUCAGGAGUUCGAGACCAUCCUGGGCAACAUGGUGAAACCCCAUCUCCACUAAAAUACAAAAAAUUAGCCAGGUGUGGUGGCACACACCUGUAGUCCCAGCUACUCGGGAGACUGAGGCAAAGAAUCGCUUGAGUCCAGGAGGCAGAGGUUGCACUGAGCUGAGAUCAUGCUACUGCAUUCCACCCUGGGUGGACAGAGCUAGACGCUGUCUCCAAAAAAUAAAUAAAUAACAGACAAGUAAAUGGCACUGCUCCUGUCUCAUGGAAUUUAUUUCUUUUUCCUGUUUCAUUAAGUCAUACAGCAAAACUUGCAUUUAUUUUAUUUUAUUUUAUUUUAUUUUAGAGAUAGGGUCUUGCUCUGGGACCCAGGCUGGAGUGCAGUGGCAUAAUCACAGCUCAAGG